GUGCUCACUUUGGCAGCUCAUAUACUAAAAUUGGAACAAUGCAGAGGAGACUAGCAUGGCCCCUUGCAAGGAUGACAUGCAAAUCCGUGAAGCAUUUCAUAUUUUA
rnacentral:snRNA from 1 species